GACGAACGCUGGCGGCGUGCUUAACACAUGCAAGUCGAACGAAGUGGCGAACGGGUGAGUAACGCGUAAUCAACCUGCCCUUCCGAGGGGGACAACAGUUGGCAACGUCUGCUAAUACCGCAUACUGAAGGAGGGGAUUUCGUCUGCUUAGCUAGUUGGAGGGGUAACGGCCUACCAAGGCGAUGCUCAGUAGCCGGUCUGAGAGGGUGAACGGCCACAUUGUGACUGAGACACGGCCCAGACUCCUACGGGAUGCAGCAGUGGGGAAUCUUCCGCAAUGGACGAAAGUCUGACGGAGCAACGCCGCGUGAGUGAUGACGGCCUUCGGGUUGUAAAGCUCUGUUAAUCGGGACGCGGUACCGGAAUAGAAAGCCACGGCUAACUACGUGCCAGCAGCCGCGGUAAUUC
rnacentral:rRNA from 1 species